rnacentral:piRNA from 1 species
UCGACUUUCAAAUGAAAUCAA